rnacentral:rRNA from 1 species
CACGUAGGGGGCGAGCGUUGUCCGGAUUUAUUGGGCGUAAAGAGCUCGUAGGUGGCUCGGUAAGUCGGGUGUGAAAUUUCGAGGCUCAACCUCGAGACGCCACCUGAUACUGCUGUGGCUAGAGUCCGGUAGGGGAGCGUGGAAUUCCUGGUGUAGCGGUGAAAUGCGCAGAGAUCGGGAGGAACACCCGUAGCGAAGGCGGCACUCUGGGCCGGUACUGACGCUGAGGAGCGAAAGCGUGGGGAGCAAACAGG